AUUGAUGUAGAAUACUGAUAAACCUAUAAGUGAUUGGUUAAAUGAGUAAGAAGAUAUCGCAUUUGUUGAAAAUUGAAGCUAGCGUAAUAGUGAUACAAAGUCAAGAAUAGCCCUAUAAAGCGAUGGGGAUACGCUUGUUACUGCUACGCCUACUCCAAAUUAUUUCUAUAAUCGCAACUGAAGCUACGAAAGAAUUGUGGGUAAUUGAGGGAAGAAGAAUAGAACUUCCAGCGCUCUCAGAUGCAGAUAAUGUAUCAAUCGCAAGUAGGCAUAUAAAUGCAGUGAACUGGUUCAAUGGUACGAAGAUUGACGUUAACAAAAUUAUCGUUAGCCUGAAACAUCCCAAUCAAAGUCGCUUUUCCAUUGAUUUGACCGAGAAAACCUACGGAGAUUUGGUAAUAGAGCCGGUAAACAGAAUAGAUACGCGACAUUACUUCUGCCAAGUUGUUGAGAAAGAUAAGGAAACAACAUGGAAAAACACAUUGUUUCUUGAUG